rnacentral:lncRNA from 13 species
UCAUGGAAAAGGUGGAGACAGACGAGCAUCUCUUAGCCAAGCAACAUCGCAAGGAGAAGAAGGAUCUGCAAGCUAAAAUCCAGAGCUUGAAAAAUGCUGUCCCCAAAAAUGACAAGAAGAGGUGUAAAACAGCUGACUGACUGAUAUUACCAAGCUGUAGGCUGAGCUGAAUCAGAAACACAACGAGGAACAACUCGACUCAUCAUGAGGAGGAGGAGCAGACGAAAAGGUAACUAUUGUCUACAUAUCAGUGCUUACAGAAUUUCCCAAACUAUGGGUCGCGAGAGACAGAUUUAAAAAUGGGGUGGCGAGAGAACCUCUGAAAUAAAAUAAAUGCCUUCUCGUUGUCCCUCAGUCCUGCCCUUCUUCUCGUUGUCCCUCAGUCCUGCCCUUCUUCUCGUUGUCCCUCAGUCCUGCCCUUCUUCUCGUUGUCCCUCAGUCCUGCCCUUCUUCUCGUUGUCCCUCAGUCCUGCCCUUCUUUCUUCUCGUUGUCCCUCAGUCCUGCCCUUCUUCUCGUUGUCCCUCAGUCCUGCCCUUCUUGCUUCUCGUUGUCCCUCAGUCCUGCCCUUCUUCUCGUUGUCCCUCAGUCCUGCCCUUCUUCUCGUUGUCCCUCAGUCCUGCCCUUCUUCUCGUUGUCCCUCAGUCCUGCCCUUCUUCUCGUUGUCCCUCAGUCCUGCCCUUCUUUCUUCUCGUUGUCCCUCAGUCCUGCCCUUCUUCUCGUUGUCCCUCAGUCCUGCCCUUCUUGCUUCUCGUUGU